UACGUAGGGGGCAAGCGUUGUCCGGAUUUAUUGGGCGUAAAGAGCGUGUAGGCGGCCAAGCAGGUCCGCUGUGAAACUCGAGGCUCACCUCGAGACGUCGGUGGAAACCGUUUGGCUAGAGUCCGGAAGAGGAGAGUGGAAUUCCCGGUGUAGCGGUGAAAUGCGCAGAUAUCGGGAAGAACACCCGUGGCGAAGGCGGCUCUCUGGGACGGUACUGACGCGUGAGAC
rnacentral:rRNA from 1 species